rnacentral:rRNA from 1 species
CCUACGGGAGGCAGCAGUAGGGAAUCUUCCGCAAUGGGCGAAAGCCUGACGGAGCAACGCCGCGUGAGUGAAGAAGGAUUUCGGUUCGUAAAGCUCUGUUGUUAGGGAAGAAUGAUUGUAUAGUAACUAUAUACAGUAGAGACGGUACCUAACCAGAAAGCCACGGCUAACUACGUGCCAGCAGCCGCGGUAAUACGUAGGUGGCAAGCGUUGUCCGGAAUUAUUGGGCGUAAAGCGCGCGCAGGUGGUUUAAUAAGUCUGAUGUGAAAGCCCACGGCUCAACCGUGGAGGGUCAUUGGAAACUGUUAAACUUGAGUGCAGGAGAGAAAAGUGGAAUUCCUAGUGUAGCGGUGAAAUGCGUAGAGAUUAGGAGGAACACCAGUGGCGAAGGCGGCUUUUUGGCCUGUAACUGACACUGAGGCGCGAAAGCGUGGGGAGCAAACAGGAUUAGAUACCCUGGUAGUCCACGCCGUAAACGAUGAGUGCUAAGUGUUGGUCUCAUAAGAGAUCAGUGCUGCAGCUAACGCAUUAAGCACUCCGCCUGGGGAGUACGACCGCAAGGUUGAAACUCAAAGGAAUUGACGG